rnacentral:ncRNA from 1 species
GAUAACUGAUUUGUGGCAGCCCAGAGUUUAUAGCGAUGUUGCUUUUUGAUCCUUCGAUGUCAGCUCUUCCCAUCAUUGUGAAGCAUAAUUCACCAAGUGUUGGAUUGUUCACCCACCAAUAGGGAACGUUAGCUGCGUUUAGACCGUCGUAAGACAGGUU